rnacentral:lncRNA from 1 species
UGAUACCUUGUUCAACUCAUUUUUGCACAACUAAGUUGAAAAUGCAAAGUUUAACCCAAAACUCAGAGUUUUUGAUCAAGUUCAGAAGUCACAAAGUCAUGCAAAUCUAAACUUCACUGUCUUACACUCAAGUUAGGAAGUCACAAGUCAUAUAGGGCAUAAACUAUAACCAAAAUCAUAGUCUUGUAUUAUCCAUAUACCAAUUUGGAAGUUCACAAAUUCAAAUACAUACAAAUUAGAAAGGACAUGACUACGUCAUGCACGGUAGCGCUAUCACGCUACCGCGCGUGCAUACAACAAAAGCAUGAGGACAUACCCUGCGCGCACACAUAAAAAAAAGGAAAGAGAAAACCCUUCCAAAAAAGGAAAACAAUUGUGAUAAAACCCCCCGCGACUCCUAGACCCCAUGUGCCAUCCCCCUCCAAGCGUCAUCCCCUUCACAAUGCUGUGCCUAGAAAGAAUCAACCAGAGAUCAAUCCCCAUAGAGAAAAAAGAAGAAAAAUGAGAAGGGAGGAGAAAACAAGAGAAACGAUCAUAUCCAAAAUACAGAAAUUCAGAUGUGAGUCUGAUUUUUAUUGACAGAAUUUAACGACCUGCUAGAAACAGAAUUUAAUGAGUCACUAAAACAUAUUAUCGAAUAAUCAACUUACGCGAAGAAUCCACACGGUGCGUUGACGGUUAAUGACUCGUGCAAAAACUUAGCGGCAACUCAACAAGACAUGCUGAACUUGCUAAAUGGUUAGCAGCUAGGGUAAUGAGUUAGAACAGCGAUAGCUAGUAGGGAGCAGCGUCAGUGACAGGGCAUGUAGCUGCAUGCGGCGACGGCGGCCUAGGGCAAGGGCAUGCACAUGUAGGAGUAGGAGGUGGCUGAGGUGGAGAGAAAAAAAAGGGAGAAGAUUGCUCCUCUAUUUAUAGGGGGAAUCUAUAAUCCUAACAACUUUAGAAAUCCAAUCCCUUUAAAAAAGAGAAAGAUAAGAUACAAGGAAAUAGGGGCUCAUAUAUGAAAGGUAAUUGUACGAGGGGGGAGGGGAGGAUCGGCUGUGGAGAGCAUGGAGGCAGGAGGCGGCCGAACCUAUGGUUGUUAGGGAGGUUGCCUGCCUGGGCUAGGCAAGGCUCACCAACAUGACUUCUGGCCACAAAGGGGGAAACCUACAACUAAAAAGAAAAAAAGAAAAAGAACAUGUUGUUGACUUUUA